GGUGGUGCUAAGAAACAUCACUCUGAGGUGGUGCGUAAAGAUAUUAAUCUUUCACCUGAUGUGUUCACACUAGGCAAAAAGUUCACCAAACUGUUGAGAUUUAAGGUUCUAAUUCCUGAUAAUUUAUGUUUGGCCACAGAAUUAAAUGUAUUACCUCUGAGCUGUUUUAUUGACAAAUGCAGAUGUGACCUAGCCUGCCUUCACACAAACGCACACAAUGCCUUUGCAGCAACAGUAGAUCAGCUUCUCUGCGCCGGUGUUCCUCACAGCAGUAGUGAUGAGAAUUUAAUAAGGCUUCAAGAAGUUCUAUUGAACAACACACGUUACUUGUUAGAGAUGGAGCCCAAACCAAAAAUCUAGAUCCAAACUCCUCUGACCUUUGUCGAAGUUCGGGUCCAGAGCCAGACUUCACGGCUACCAUGUAACGGUAAAGACCCAAACCAGAAUGCCAGGUCCCAUCCUCUUUGAACUUUGGGAAGGCUUAGGCUUGGUUCCAGUCUAACUAGCUUGGGCCCAUCUCUAGUUUUCAACUCCCAUCUUCAAGUAAUUUAGCCAAAUCCAGUGACAUAAGGUGUAUAAAGUUACACAUUGAAUGUAGCAUAGUCCAAUGAAAGGUGAUGGGAGUGACAUCCACUAUACACCAGAAAUGGAUUUGUCUGAGGAGGAGGAGAGAGUGUGUGUGGCAGACCUCUCUGUUAGUUGAUUUUCUUGCUACACACACUACUUCCACUCCAUUUGUGACUCAUUUUGCAUGCCCAGUGCCUGAUUCUGAUUAAUGUCUGUACUGCAGUUUGAACACAAAGUACUAUAUCGAUAAGUAAUGUUGCUGUGUGUAAUUCAUUAGCUCACUUACAUUGUUUUUUCCCCCACCACCGUUAUGUGACUGACUUCCCUGGAGUUCUGAUGUUCACCAGGGUGCGUUAGAUCAGAAUCAGAUGCCACUGAACUACAAAUUGGUGCAAGUUAGUGCACAAGGCCCUGUGCUGUUCAUUUACAAAGUUUGGAUUACUCUGAUAGUGUUGAAUGCUGUAAACCUCUCUAGUAACAGCAACUACAUACUCAGAAAAGAUAUCCAAGUUUGUACUGAAACACUUCUGAUGGCUUGGUUCUUGUGAGAUAGUCUUUAUGGAGGAAACUGAUUGCAGCAUCCUCCAUUUUCUUCUUGGUCAUAUCAGUAUUUUUAUGAUUCAAGUGUCCCUUUUCAUGAUUUUAACUUGUCAUUUUCUAAUGUAUAUUUCAAAUAAAUGUUGGAAGGAAAAUCA
rnacentral:lncRNA from 1 species